rnacentral:rRNA from 1 species
CGUAGGGUGCAAGCGUUAAUCGGAAUUACUGGGCGUAAAGCGUGCGCAGGCGGUUUGGUAAGACAGAUGUGAAAUCCCCGGGCUUAACCUGGGAAUUGCAUUUGUGACUGCCCGGCUAGAGUUUGGCAGAGGGGGGUAGAAUUCCACGUGUAGCAGUGAAAUGCGUAGAUACGUGGAGGAAUACCGAUGGCGAAGGCAGCCCCCUGGGUCAAGACUGACGCUCAUGCACGAAAGCGUGGGGAGCAAACAGGAUUAGAUACCCUGGUAGUCCACGCCCUGAACGAUGUCUGCUAGUUGUCGGGUCUUAAUUGACUUGGUAACGCAGCUAACGCGUGAAGUAGACCGCCUGGGGAGUACGGUCGCAAGAUUA